GAUGAACGCUGACAGAAUGCUUAACACAUGCAAGUCAACUUGAAUUUGGGUUUUUAACUUAGAUUUGGGUGGCGGACGGGUGAGUAACGCGUAAAGAACUUGCCUCACAGUUAGGGACAACAUUUAGAAAUGAAUGCUAAUACCUGAUAUUAUGAUUUUAAGGCAUCUUAGAAUUAUGAAAGCUAUAAGCACUGUGAGAGAGCUUUGCGUCCCAUUAGCUAGUUGGAGAGGUAACAGCUCACCAAGGCGAUGAUGGGUAGCCGGCCUGAGAGGGUGAACGGCCACAAGGGGACUGAGACACGGCCCUUACUCCUACGGGAGGCAGCAGUGGGGAAUAUUGGACAAUGGACCGAGAGUCUGAUCCAGCAAUUCUGGGUGCACGAUGAAGUUUUUCGGAAUGUAAAGUGCUUUCAGUUGGGAAGAAGGAAAUGACGGUACCAACAGAAGAAGUGACGGCUAAAUACGUGCCAGCAGCCGCGGUAAUACGUAUGUCACGAGCGUUAUCCGGAUUUAUUGGGCGUAAAGCGCGUCUAGGUGGUUAUGUAAGUCUGAUGUGAAAAUGCAGGGCUCAACUCUGUAUUGCGUUGGAAACUGUAUAACUAGAGUACUGGAAAGGUAAGCGGAACUACAAGUGUAGAGGUGAAAUUCGUAGAUAUUUGUAGGAAUGCCGAUGGGGAAGCCAGCUUACUGGACAGAUACUGACGCUAAAGCGCGAAAGCGUGGGUAGCAAACAGG
rnacentral:rRNA from 1 species